CUGGCAGUUUCGACGGAAUAUAGACCACUUCGAAUUAUUUUGUGUCUGUUUACAAGAAUUCGUUGGGUGAUGGAAGCAAGUGAUUGGUCAGGUAAAGUACUGGAAUGCGCUGGAUGGUGUUAUGCUAAAUGUAUGAAGAUGUUUCCCCCACGUGGAAGGUCAAUGUGAGAAUCGUGUGUGCAAUCCUUUAUGCUCAUUAACGAAUAAGUGUUAAGAACGUCGAUGAUAAUGAAAUUGUUACCAAACGUACGAAGCCAGGCCGCUUAAAUCAUCAGAGUGUCGAAGAAAAUUCCUAGGCAAAAUGGAAGGCAUUCUGGAUUAAAUUGAGUGGUUCUGGUCGUCCAUAUUUCCCAUGAUUAUCUUAGGAUGAAAUAUAUUAGCUCAAGCGAACAAAAAUUUUGUAUCCAAUAACACCUUAACCAAGCAGGCAUGUACUCCGUUUAUUAAGAAUACAGAAGCUCCUAGCCAAGAGGAAUGUCCCCCUCCCCCCAGUAUUGAAUAUUUUUUUUAGAUGACUUCAACUUGCUUUAUUAUCCGUGUAGGACCAAUAAAAUCACUAGACCUCAAUCCUGAUCGCUAUUCUAUGUAGGAUAUCAUGAAGGUAGCUACUAAAUAUGAAAUAGCUAUUGGGGAAGCUCCACCAUAAAAGAGGAGUUACUAGAUGGCCUAAUGAUGUUCAAACGUGAAGCAACUUUUCAUAUAAAGUAAUGUGACGAAUCUAUGGACAAAACUUAAAAACCCAUAUUUAUCCAUAUACACACACACAGUGUGACGGUGAAGAAAUAAUACUGUAAAUUCUAUAACAUUACCUCUCCACUUGAAGAAGCUUCAGCAUAGCGAAAUUAUUAUUGUAGUUUCAUUAAUAAAACUCUUGUAACUUAAACUUUGUGUUUGUCAGUGUAUUAAAUAUUUAAUAAAAGUUUCA